CGACAAUGGACACCACUUCACUCUCCGUAACAAACUCUACGUGGCCCUGAACGGCCCCUGACACCACUCCACUCUCCGUAACAAACUUCACGUGGCCCUAAAUGGCCCCUGACGUCACUACUCUCUGUAACAAACUCCGCGUGGCCCUGAACGGCCCACUAUUAGGCGGUUACAGACGUCGCUGUCAAUCAAUUAUACUCUCCAUCUAUAAAAAGGGACCCCAGAUACGUUCUCUCUAAGCUCAAAACUCUAUCUAGAAACUCUGCUAAAAUUCUCAUUCGAGCACUCUAUUUCUGUUGAGAUAGAGUACUGACUUGAGCGUCGGAGGGUCUUGCCGGAGCACCCCCAACUCUGAUUUAAACUUCUCUUGCAGGUCCCGACGACGGACGCGAUCUCUCGACUCUAGCUUCUCCGACGUCGGCGGAAUUCUGCACCAACAGAAUUGGCGCUAGAGGAAGGACGGCCUAUGUCUUCGCAGUACCCUUGUUCUUAAAGGAGUGUUCAACAGGACUGUCUCCGAUCACCUUCUCCGACAUCUACUUCUCCUUCUCCUGUCAGAUAUCCACCUAAUGCCUCCCCGAA
rnacentral:lncRNA from 1 species